AGGGAACAGAAACUACCAAAGUGGAAACCCCUGGGGGAGGUGGGGAGAGGCAGAGAGAAAGAGAGAGAGAAGGCCAAAUAGUCCUUGACCUCAAGGAACUCAGUCUGAGGGAGAUGACAUGGAAAUAAUGAGACUACCCAGGUGGUAAACUUAACCAGAUGGCCAGGGGCAAGCAACGUGGGGCUGGAGGAAUGCCAUCUGCACAUCAAGAAUGCUGCUGAGAUCAUUCCUGUGUCUUCGUCAAAAACAGCUCUUAUGUCUGCAAACCAUGAGAAACACGAACCAUAUGAAGACAAACAAACAGGCUCAGGAAAAGGAAGCAACAGAAGAAGAAGAAGAAGAAGAAGAAGAAGAA